rnacentral:rRNA from 2 species
GGUCCUUCGGGACUUAGUGGCGGACGGGUGAGUAACGCGUGAGGAUCUGGCUUCAGGACGGGGAUAACAUUGGGAAACUGAUGCUAAUACCCGAUAUGGCGAGAGCUAAAAGAUUUAUCGCCUGAAGAUGAACUCGCGUCCGAUUAGCUAGUUGGAGUGGUAAUGGCACCCCAAGGCGAUGAUCGGUAGCUGGUCUGAGAGGAUGAUCAGCCACACUGGGACUGAGACACGGCCCAGACUCCUACGGGAGGCAGCAGUGGGGAAUUUUCCGCAAUGGGCGCAAGCCUGACGGAGCAAUACCGCGUGCGGGAGGACGGCCUUUGGGUUGUAAACCGCUUUUCUCAGGGAAGAAGCUCUGACGGUACCUGAGGAAUCAGCAUCGGCUAACUCCGUGCCAGCAGCCGCGGUAAUACGGAGGAUGCAAGCGUUAUCCGGAAUUAUUGGGCGUAAAGCGUCCGCAGGUGGUUGGUCAAGUCUCCUGUCAAAGCGUGGAGCUUUACUCCAUAAGGGCUGUGGAUACUGAUUAACUAGAGG